CCUACGGGAGGCAGCAGUGAGGAAUAUUGGUCAAUGGGCGCGAGCCUGAACCAGCCAAGUCGCGUGAGGGAAGACGGUCCUAUGGAUUGUAAACCUCUUUUGUCGGGGAGUAAAAUACGCCACGCGUGGCUUUCCGAGAGUACCCUAUGAAUAAGCAUCGGCUAACUCCGUGCCAGCAGCCGCGGUAAUACGGAGGAUGCGAGCGUUAUCCGGUUUUAUUGGGUUUAAAGGGUGCGCAGGCGGAAGAUCAAGUCAGCGGUAAAAUUGUGAGGCUCAACCUCUUCGAGCCGUUGAAACUGGUUGUCUUGAGUGAGUGAGAAGUAGGCGGAAUGCGUGGUGUAGCGGUGAAAUGCAUAGAUAUCACGCAGAACUCCGAUUGCGAAGGGAGCAUACCGGAGCUCAACUGACGCUCAUGCACGAAAGUGUGGGUAUCGAACAGGAUUAGAUACCCCUGUAGUC
rnacentral:rRNA from 1 species